ACAUCAAGCCCUGUUUUCCCACUCAGCACUGACAACAGAACAUUAAGCAUAAUGUUGUUGAAGUUGGUUUUCAUGAUUGCUCUUUUUCAAGGUGUGCACUGUGAGAUGCAGCUUGUUGAGUCUGGUGGAGGAUUGGUGCAGCCUAAUGGGUCAUUGAAACUCUCAUGUGCUGCCUCUGGAUUCACCUUCAAUACCUAUGAUAUGAGCUGGGUCAGCCAGUCUCCAGGAAAGGGUCUGGAAUUGGUUGCUGGCAUAAGCAUUAAGAGUUAUAAUUAUGCAACCUUUUAUGCUGAUUCCGUGAAAGGCAGAUUCACCAUCUCCAGAGAUGAUUCACAAAGUAUGGUCUACUUGCAAAUGAACAACCUGAAAACUGAGGACACAGCAUUGUAUUACUGUACAGCAGCACAAGAUGAUUCACAAAGCAUAGUCUACCUGCAAAUGAAUAACCUGAAAACUGAGGAAACAGCCAUGUAUUACUGUGCGUCUGCACAGUGCAAAGACUCUAUUGUCAACAUAGACAGAAAUCUCCAUUUCAGAUACCCAUUACCUGCAGGGGGCACUCAGUACACACAGAACACAGGUGGGUGGGACAAGUGGUGGCCUGAGGACAUCCUCGUGGAUCUCAGAACUCUUCGAAUCCAGUACAGCGACGUCGGAAAGUUCCCGUCCCGGACCAGAGUGCACUUGCUCGGAAUAGCCAACAAGUGCCAGGCUACGGAGUUGGGUGUAAACAAACAGGCCAGCUCGCCCUGCUCCUAA